GACAUCCCACCAGACAGGUUGGCUGCCUCCUACGGAGCUGGUGCUCCAGCUGCGGAGAUCUUGAAAGCCAUAAUCUUCUCCGGAAAUGGCAAGGUACAGACGCAGCAGGAGCAGAAGCAGGAGCCGUCGCAGAAGGCGACGAAGGGGAAGCCGCGGGGGUCGACAUGGAAGGAGGAGAAGACGACAUGGCAGAAGGAGAAGAGGUCGUAGAGGUAGAGAGCGAACUCGGAGGAGGAGGAGAAGGAGGAUUUUUUAAUUUCCUGAUUUCUCCCAUUCUCCUGUGCAAAUCAUCGACCCUUCACUCUGCGAUAUCUGCUAUGGCAAAAAGAAUCAACCCUUCAGUGACGACACCCCGCGAUGACUUCCUAACCUGCAAGGAACCAGCUACCAUUUGAACAAUGCCACCUGUCAAUAAACUUUGAAAUUUCAUUUUGCAGUCUCAUUGUGUCUUUGCAUAGGUUUGGAAAUACUAGGUGGAUUUAUGACAAUUAACAGUUUCUUCCUAGCCGUCUCAGCCAGAUGUUGGUUAUUUCCAGGAAGGAUCAGGAUUCUUACAUCCUUUUUACUAUCUUCUACACAACCUAUCUAUCAUAUAUCUAUCAUUCCUCUACCUCUUUUUCCCCUCAAUAAACUGUCCCAAGUUUUUUCUUUUUUCAUAUGGAAGUUUCUCUGCCUUGGAUCAUUAUUUUUUUCAGCCAUCUCUGAAACCCAAUGAGAUAAGCUGCCCAGAAUUUGAACACUGUUGUUAGACUGUCUUAUGAUUUGAUGAUGUCAUAUUUUCGGUAUUAUCCAGUCCUUCUUGAGAAUUUUUGGAACAGUGCUGCAACAUUCUUCCAGGGCCUUCUGAUUUUAUAAUGGGCAUUAUAUUUUCAGUAAUAUCCCAUUCCUUGUCUCACCUAUCAGUUUUGCUGCACAUCCUGACAAACAGCCUAUAUACAUAUACAUUCACCAAUAUAUGCAUAUUUUCAGGUCAAUCUAUUGACCUAUGGCCUUACUAUGGACUAUAUGGCCUUGCCAAGAUACGAAAAAUUACCAAUUUUAUUCUUAGCUGUUUGCUUGCAGAAAAGUAUGAGCUGUAUCAAGAAUGUAGCGAUUAGUUCUGAACCCUCUGUAAUUAUUUGAAUGAAACAGUAAUGUAACUGUUUACUUCGCUGGCUAGGUAGAAGGAAAGACCUUAAGGCAGGACCCUCGCUCCUGGGGCAGAGGGUUGCGGGGGAACAGCUGUGGCUUGGAAACCAGGAGCAUCAGAGAAGCUGGAUCCAUGGAGAAAUCCCCAGGGAACUGUGUCUAGGGCAGGCAUCAUCAGAAGCUGGGGGACUGCAUAUGGAAUAGGGUGUGGCUGGAGGAGAUUGCAAGUGGGAGUUGGCCUGUGCAUGUGGAAACAGCAGCGACUGAGCAGGAAAUCCUGGCAGACAGGCUCCAGUGAGAGAAACCGCUCAUUGCAAACCUGUAAACUCCUGUUUGCUUGGAAUAUUCUCCUGUGCAAGUCAUCGACCCUUCACACUGCAACAUCUGCUAUGGCAAAAAGAAACAUUCCUUCAGUGACAACACGCCGCGAUGACGUCCCAAGAUGGAAGGAGCCUGCUACCAGUUGAACAAUACCACCUGUUAAUAAACUUUGAAAUUUCAUUUUGCA